CUACGGGUGGCAGCAGUGGGGAAUAUUGCACAAUGGGCGCAAGCCUGAUGCAGCCAUGCCGCGUGUAUGAAGAAGGCCUUCGGGUUGUAAAGUACUUUCAGCGGGGAGGAAGGGAGUAAAGUUAAUAUCAUUGCUCAUUGACGUUACCCGCAGAAGAAGCACCGGCUAACUCCGUGCCAGCAGCCGCGGUAAUACGGAGGGUGCAAGCGUUAAUCGGAAUGACUGGGCGUAAAGCGCACGCAGGCGGUUUGUUAAGUCAGAUGUGAAAUCCCCGGGCUCAACCUGGGAACUGCAUCUGAUACUGGCAAGCUUGAGUCUAGUAGAGGGAGGUAGAAUUCCAGGUGUAGCGGUGACAUGCGUAGAGAUCUGGAGGAAUACCGGUGGCGAAGGCGGCCCCCUGGACGAAGACUGACGCUCAGGUGCGAAAGCGUGGGGAGCAAACAGGAUUAGAUACCCGAGUAGUC
rnacentral:rRNA from 1 species